CCCAAGUGCCUUUAUGUUAGGCAGGACCUGGAAGAGUGAGGAUUUAGAGCCAUUACAAUUGGAAAUAUCAGAAUUCCUUCAUGUUUUUGUGUGCCUAGCUAUAAGAUUAUAAGGAAGGGGCAAAAAGAGUUUAAGAUGCAAUUUCACAAAAGAGAAUUUCUUCGUAGUGGCUGUUCCCUACUCCCUCCACUUACAUUCCAAACCUUCCAAAUUACAGCAUGGUAGGCUAUACAGGAGAAGCUGUGCCUGCUCCAGCAGCAAGCUUCCAAGCAAAUACCUGUUCAAUGAUUUUUUUCUCUUUCUUCCUUGGAUGGCCCCAGAAGAGAGUGAAAAGGAAAAAAAAAUUCAGAGCAGAAAAGAGAGAUUUUACUCCACAAUUUGAGUGCUUGCUCUUUUAACAAAGCACGAGAAGCAGAAUGGAUUUGAAGUAAGACCUCACCUCACCACCACAACCUAAAAUUCUCUUUGAUUUGUCAUUCAAACGAGUAAUAGAGGGAAAGACAAAAGAUUAAAACUUCCUACAUAGAACCCUUGAAGAUCAUCACCUCUACCUUAAACACCUAUAUGCUUUGUUCCAAAUCUUUGCCUAUAUUAUAUUACAUGACUGAUGGUAAGUUGUAGUAGCUGGCUUUGAGCAACAACCCCCAUUACAAAGUUAAUAACAAGAUAGUUUCUGGACUCAAAGAACACACUUUUUGGAGUAGAUUGCAAAGAGAUGACUGUAUUUUAAAAGAUCACAAGAAAUGUUGCAGGCAUGCACAGGAAAGUAUUUAUAAAUACAUGGGCAAAUGGUAGCUUUAAAAAAUGUUUUUAGUUAUUUAUUUUGUGCUGUUUCAUGUCUUAGUAAUAUUCUAUGAUAUUAAGGAGGAGGGUCUUGGGGAAUGGAAAGUCAACAUUAACCAUGGAGGAAGGAUGUAGUACAUUAUUGAGAGGGUGAACUGGAAACAGAUGAUAUAUGAGUUUUUGGAAUAGCUAAAAGGUACUUUACGAAGCCAGUUUACAGUGGUAAAUAGUUUACUCAAACAAUUAGCUCUUAAAUAAUUACCUUUUCCUCCAUGAACCUCUUCCUUCCCC
rnacentral:lncRNA from 1 species